rnacentral:lncRNA from 1 species
CGGCUUCUCAAGGGCAGGAGUUGCUGACGGGAUCGAGCUGAAGUCUCCCUGCCUUGUAGCGGAUCGCCAGGAUAAUGCUGCGGGAAAAUAUGGCUGUGACGCUCGUGAAGAACUCUGGAACAUGAACAACCAAAAUUACCUGCUGCCCGACCUCCUCCAACAGAGUCAGAUUCCAGCAAACCAAAUGAAAACUUCUGCUCAAGAACUUCCAAACAAUCCUCCUGCUAACCAGCAGGCACUGAAUGCUGACAGUACCCCUUCCAAAAACAGUUCUUCUUCUACAUCAUCUUUUACACCCUUCAUUGAUCCUAGACUUCUCCAAAUCUCGCCUCACUCCAGUCCAACUGGACCAAACUGUGGUU